rnacentral:lncRNA from 1 species
UCUCAAUAGGAUGGCUUCUCUGCUUGUGUAAUCAACUAGUCAACUCUUGAGUCAGCCUCCACAUUCCCAAGAACAUCACCUUCUCUCCUUGGACCUACAGAAGCUCCAGAACCUGUUUCAAAUGGAGCCCAGAUGGUUCAGAAUCAUCUCUACUAAACUGAGGAGUCCCUCCUUAUUUGGCCAAGAAGGUCGAUUUUCUUCAGGUGUUCAGUUCCUCACUCACUAAGCUCUUACUGCUGUGGACUGCCCCCAGCCAGACCAGGCCAUCAUGCCCAUGUGCAUCUUGAACUAUUGGCCACCUUCCCAGCACCCAAAGAUGGUAACAUAGGGAACGAGGAUACUUUUCUGCACCUGCAAGGCUCCUUAGUCAAAGGUAUGCCAGCUAAAUAAGUCCAUGGGCUACUUCAUUUAUGUUGGGCCAUCCCCAGCUUGUAUUCCUCUGUGAUGUGCCUGGUGGGUACCCUGGC